AUCGAACGCUGGCGGCAGGCUUAACACAUGCAAGUCGAACGAGUGGCGGACGGGUGAGUAAUGCUUGGGAAUCUGGCUUAUGGAGGGGGAUAACGACGGGAAACUGUCGCUAAUACCGCGUACAAUAGGAUGAGCCCAAGUGGGAUUAGGUAGUUGGUGGGGUAAAGGCCUACCAAGCUGACGAUCUCUAGCUGGUCUGAGAGGAUGACAAGGCACACCGGGACUGAGGCACUGCCCGGACUCAUACGGGAGGCAGCAGUGGGGAGGCUUGCGCAAUGGACGAAAGUCUGACGGAGCAACGCCGCGUGAGUGAUGUCGGCCUUCGGGUGGUAAGGCUCUGUUAAUCGGGAGGCGGUACCGGAAUAGAAAGCCACGGCUAACUACGUGCCAGCAGCCGCGGUAAUAC
rnacentral:rRNA from 1 species